GCGACCCCAGGUCAGGCGGGACUACCCGCUGAGUUUAAG
rnacentral:rRNA from 2 species